GACGAACGCUGGCGGCGUGCUUAACACAUGCAAGUCGAACGGAAAGGCCUCUUUCGGGGGGUACUCGAGUGGCGAACGGGUGAGUAACACGUGAGUAACCUGCCCUUGACUUUGGGAUAACUUCAGGAAACUGGGGCUAAUACCGGAUAUGAGCUCCUGCUGCAUGGUGGGGGGUGUAAAGUUUCGGCGGUUGGGGAUGGACUCGCGGCUUAUCAGGUUGUUGGUGGGGUAGUGGCUUACCAAGGCUUUGACGGGUAGCCGGGCUGAGAGGGGGACCGGGCACAUUGGGACUGAGAUACGGCCCAGACUCCUACGGGAGGCAGCAGUGGGGAAUAUUGCACAAUGGGUGGAAGCCUGAUGCAGCCACGCCGUGUGCGGGAUGAUGGCCUUCGGGUUGUAAACCGCUUUCGCUCAUGACGAAGCUUUGUGUGACGGUAGUGGGUAAAGAAGCACCGGCUAACUACGUG
rnacentral:rRNA from 1 species